rnacentral:rRNA from 1 species
AGCAGUAGCCGCGGGAAUACGGAGGGGGCUAGCGUUGUUCGGAAUUACUGGGCGUAAAGCGCACGUAGGCGGCUUGGUAAGUUAGAGGUGAAAGCCUGGAGCUCAACUCCAGAAUUGCCUUUAAGACUGCCGAGCUAGCAGGUGAGAGAGGUAAGUGGAAUUCCGAGUGUAGAGGUGAAAUUCGUAGAUAUUCGGAAGAACACCAGUGGCGAAGGCGGCUCACUGGCUCAUUCUAGACGCUGAGGUGCGAAAGCGUGGGGAGCAAACAGGAUUAGAUACCCCUGUAGUCCCUGUCUCUUAUAC